CUUCAUCCCCUGCUAAAAAUAGCUCGCUGUGCCUAAACUGUGCACAGAGCACAAUUCAGGCAGGGCACCUCCUUUUCUUAUGGAGUCCUGUAUCUUUGUGAACUCCUGGGUUCCCAGUCUGAGCUUUCCAGGUAUUGAUGCUUCACAGGCACUGCUACAUACUGCUGAGGGAAACAUGUCCUGCGUGACUUUACUGGGAAAAUUCCUAGCAAAAAUUUUGUGCCUGAUUUCCUCUGGACGUGUGCUGAAUAGACUUCCACAAGAGUUGUGCACACACAUUCCUGAAAUCCUUCUCUGCUUCCUGCCCUUGGAAUCUAACUGCCUCAGCCUAGAGGAAUUCUAAUCAUUCCCUGCUCACCCAAGGACCGCUGGCCCUGUUUAUCUUGUCAUUACCUAGAAAUUCCUUCUUAUCAGAAGGCGCAUCUCUUUCAUUGUCCCUUUUCCCCUCGUCCUUCACUACUUAUAGAGGAAUAUUUAAAAGAAACACAGAGGGGAUGAAUUCACUCGAAAAUUGUUGUAUGAAAUUCUCAAGGAGUUAAAACCAUGUUUCAAAAGAACAAAAUGUGGACAGCAUGCUGCCAUUUGCUUAAGGAAGUGAGAUAUCUUCGCUUGUGGUGAUUUUGUAGAGAGAAAUGCACCGAAGGAUUUCUGGAGGCGUCCAGGCUGCUUCUUGCUACUUCAGCAGACUGGUGCCCACUGGUGGGGCCUCUCGGGUUCUUCUGGACAGAGCCACUGCUGCUGGUUUGAGUGGAUUGUUGAUAAGGAAGAAUGGAAACACUCCAAAGAAUGACUUCUCAACAGACUCAUCUAAACAGGGAAAUUUAAGAAGCACACGUAAAACAGCCUGGUGAUGUCCGGAUGUUACCAUGCCAUUCACUAGAAAAUGGACUUGGUGACGGUUUUAAAGGUAUUGGAGGGACAGACGAGUCUCCCAGGCUUCCAGUUUGCUUGGGAGUACAAUAAAGUUAUUAAAAAAGGACGUUAUAAUUUGGAAACUAUCAAUAAAAUGCUGUAACAAAUUUAAGAAUUAGGCAUUGCUCUGGUCUGACUGUGUCCCUUCCCUCCAGAUUCCCCUUACUUAAUGCUGUGUUAAGUAAGGCGUUGGGGGAGCUUGACAUCAAUUUGCAUUUUGCCUCUUUUAUGUCUUACUAACCUCAAGUUAGGCAAUCCAAAUCCUUUACGUAGUGCAGCUUGCUUUGGUUUUCCUAAAACGACCUGCAGCAUUCCGACAGAGUUCUCUGGGAAUUCGCACAUCUGGUUUUGCUUCCAAAAUAAGCGCGAGCCUUUUUCUUUACAUUCAAACAACCCACCCGUUUCUUCUGUGUGUGGUUCAGUUUUUAAAAAUGAAAUAGAUCGACUUCACUGUCUCAACUUUGGAUGAUAAUUUCCCCAUGUAUUUCCUAUCUUGGGUAUGUGGCAUUUUGCGGGAGGGGUGUCUUUAGGAUGCUAUAUGAGAAUAUUAAAUCAUUCAGCACCCUGGAGCCAAUCAAUUACUCAUUAACGACAACAGCGUAAGCAACUGGAAAUUUUACAAUGAAAAGUACCAGCGGCUGCCACGAUAAAUUUAGCCAACCACUUCUAAAUUUAGCGCCCCUGUCACUUAUAAACCACUUUCCACUUAAGGCCUGGGCUGUAGGACGAUUGUUGGAUCCUCCCGCUUCUCGGCACGCGUGUAGCCACGGGGCUUCCAGCGCCACGCGCGGUCCGAGUGCGCGCUGCCCACCAGCCGACCCGUGCGGGCGAGGCGCCGUGGCUGAGCCCAGCGCUGCAAACGCCUGGCGGGCUGACCCAGACCGUGCGGGUUAGAGACGCUUCUUUCGCGCCGUCCCGCAGCGGGGCGCGCGCGGAGCUUCAGCCUUCUUUCCCGGUUCUCUGAGGUCCCGGAGCAGUGGGUUCGGUCCAGGCUGCAGCUUCCCAGCAGCUCCCUCCCCAGGGGCGGGCCCUGGCUCUCCGUGCAGCAACGAGUGGGCGGCCAGAGGCGGGUAGCCGAGAGGACGGGCGGCUGCGAGACAGUCGCUGGGACUCGGAGGGCGCGGCGAGCCGG